rnacentral:rRNA from 1 species
UACAGAGGUGGCAAGCGUUGUUCGGAAUUACUGGGCGUAAAGGGCGCGUAGGCGGCCGCGUAAGUCCUGUGUGAAAGCCCCCGGCUCAACUGGGGAGGGUCAUUCGAUACUGAUCGACUUGAAGGCAGGAGAGGGAAGCGGAAUUCCCGGUGUAGGUGGUGAAAUGCGUAGAUAUCGGGAGGAACACCCGUGGCGAAGGCGGCCUCUCGUGGGACGGUACUGGACGCAUGAGACGGCGAAAGCGUGGGAGACGAACAGG